rnacentral:rRNA from 1 species
CGGUAAUUCCAGCUCCAGUAGCGUAUAUUAAAGUUGUUGCAGUUGAAACGCUCGUAGUCUGAAAUUAAUUCUUUCAUAGGAAGUACUGUUCACCCUAAUUACUCUGGUCGUUAGGUAGUGACGGUCAUUCACCUUGAUGAAUCUAGAGUGUUCAAGGCAGGCACAGCCUGAAUACUGCUGCAUGGAAUGAGAUUGAUAUUAUAUCUCUCUCGGUCGGAGAGAUCAAAGUAUCUUAAGGAACAGUCGAGGGCAUUCGUACUUGACCGUCAGAGGUGAAAUUCUAGGAUUGGUCAAUGACGAACAAAAGCGAAAGCAUCUGCCAAGGAUGUUUUCUUUGAUCAAGAACGAAGGUUAGGGGAUCAAAGACGAUCAGAUACUGUCGUAGUCCUGACUGUAAACUAUGCCGACUAGAGCUUAAUUGAAUAACAUAAAUUCAGUUAGGAUCUAGAGAGAAAUCAAAGUUUUUGGGUUCUGGGGGAAGUAUGGUCACAAGGCUGAAACUUGAAGGAAUUGACGGAAGGGUACCACCAGGCGUGGAGCUUGUGGCUUAAUUUGACUCAACGUGGGAAAACUUACCAGGUCAAAACGUGGUCAUGAUUGACAGGCUGAAAGUCCUUUCUUGAUUCCAUGGUUGGUGGUGCAUGGCCGUUCUUAGUUGGUGGACUGAUUUGUCAGGUUAAUUCCGGUAACGAACGAGACCUUGGCCUGCUAACUAGAUGAUUUACUUUUGUAUUUCUUCUUCUUAGAGGGACAAUGGUGGCUACAUCACUGAAGCUCGAGGUAAUAACAGGUCUGUUAUGCCCUUAGAUGUCCUGGGCCGCACGCGUGCUACACUGACGCAUUCAGAAAGUUAUCAAUCCGGAAGGAAAGAUUAAUCAUCAAUGUGCGUCAUGUAGGGACAGUUCCUUGUAAUUGUGGAGCUCGAACGAGGAAUGCCUAGUAAGUGCAAGUCAACAUCUUGUACUGAUUACGUCCCUGCCCCUUGUACACACCGCCC